rnacentral:rRNA from 1 species
UACGUAGGGACCAAGCGUUGUUCGGAUUUACUGGGCGUAAAGGGCGCGUAGGCGGCGUGUUAAGUCACUUGUGAAAUCUCUAAGCUUAACUUAGAACGGUCAAGUGAUACUGAUGUGCUAGAGUGCAGAAGGGGCAACCGGAAUUCUUGGUGUAGCGGUGAAAUGCGUAGAUAUCAAGAGGAACACCUGAGGUGAAGACGGGUUGCUGGGCUGACACUGACGCUGGAGGCGCGAAAGCUAGGGUAGCAAACGGG